UCCAGUGGUGGUCAGCUGUCUGUGUCAGCACCAUGUCUGUGACAGUGUUACACUGCUGGAAGAUAAAAGUACUGUCUGUUUUCACUGUUUGUCAGCACUUCUGUUCUAGAGGUGGCUGGCACCAGUAUGUGGCAGUGCUGUGCUUCUCUGAGAGUAUGCUGAGCUGUUAAUAUCCUGCUCAUGCGCUAGUCUAGAAGCAUACAUU
rnacentral:snoRNA from 1 species